AUUGAACGCUGGCGGCAGGCCUAACACAUGCAAGUCGAACGGCAGCACAGAAGAGCUUGCUCUUUGGGUGGCGAGUGGCGGACGGGUGAGUAAUGUCUGGGAAACUGCCCGAUGGAGGGGGAUAACUACUGGAAACGGUAGCUAAUACCGCAUAACGUCGCGAGACCAAAGUGGGGGACCUUCGGGCCUCACACCAUCGGAUGUGCCCAGAUGGGAUUAGCUAGUAGGUGGGGUAAUGGCUCACCUAGGCGACGAUCCCUAGCUGGUCUGAGGGGAUGACCAGCCACACUUGAACUGAGACACGGUCCAGACUCCUACGGGAGGCAGCAGUGGGGAAUAUUGCACAAUGGGCGCAAGCCUGAUGCAGCCAUGCCGCGCGUAUGAAGAAGGCCUUCGGGUUGUAAAGUACUUUCAGCGGGGAGGAAGGCGGUGAGGUUAAUAACCUUGCCGAUUGACGUUACCCGCAGAAGAAGCACCGGCUAACUCCGUGCCAGCCGCCGCGGUAA
rnacentral:rRNA from 1 species